UACAGAGGUCCCAAGCGUUGUUCGGAUUCACUGGGCGUAAAGGGUGCGUAGGUGGUGAGGUAAGUCGGAUGUGAAAUCUCCGAGCUUAACUCGGAACGGUCAACUGAUACUGUGCGACUAGAGUGCGGAAGGGGCAACUGGAAUUCUCGGUGUAGCGGUGAAAUGCGUAGAUAUCGAGAGGAACACCUGCGGCGAAGGCGGGUUGCUGGGCCGACACUGACGCUGAUGCGCGAAAGCCAGGGGAGCGAACGGG
rnacentral:rRNA from 1 species